AUGGGUCCGGGUGAUCAUGCAGGGGUCCGUUCCGCCGACGGCCGGCUGGAGGCCCUGCUCUCCGGCGGCGGUGGGGCACGGCGCAUGGCGUCGGCCGCGGCGCUGGAGCUGCGGCUGCUUGCUCCGCUGGCCGCGCCGGCGGUGGUGGUGUACAUGCUGAUCAUCGUGAUGUCGUCGGCCACCCAGAUCUUCUGCGGCCAGCUCGGCAACGUGCAGCUCGCCGCCGCCUCCCUCGGCAACAACGGCAUCCAGGUGUUCGCCUACGGCCUCAUGCUCGGGAUGGGGAGCGCGGUGGAGACGCUGUGCGGGCAGGCGUACGGCGCCGAGAAGUACGAGAUGCUGGGCGUGUACCUGCAGCGCUCGACGGUGCUCCUCAUGGCCACCGGCGUGCCGCUGGCCGCCAUGUACGCCUUCUCGGAGCCCAUCCUCCUCCUGCUCGGGCAGUCGCCGGAGAUCGCCGGCGCCGCCGCGGAGUUCGCCUACGGCCUCAUCCCGCAGAUCUUCGCGUACGCGGCCAACUUCCCCAUCCAGAAGUUCCUGCAGGCGCAGAGCAUCGUGGCGCCCAGCGCCUACAUCCUGACGGCCAGCAUGGCGCUGCACGUGGCGAUGAGCUGGGUGGCGGUGUAUAGGCUGGGCCUAGGCCUACUGGGCGCGUCGCUCACGCUGAGCCUGACGUGGUGGGUCCUGGUGGCAGGGCAGUUCGCGUACAUCGUGCUGAGCCCGAGGUGCCGGGAGACGUGGACCGGGUUCACGUGGGCCGCGUUCGCCGACCUGGCGGGGUUCGCCAAGCUGUCGGCCGCGUCGGCGGUGAUGCUGGCGCUGGAGGUGUGGUACUUCCAGGUGCUCAUCCUCCUCGCCGGCAUGCUGCCCGACCCACAGAUCGCACUUGAUUCACUCACCGUCUGCACCUCGAUUCAGUCAUGGGUGUUCAUGAUCUCCGUGGGCUUCAACGCAGCUGCCAGCGUGAGGGUGGGGAAUGAACUUGGCGCCGGGAACCCCAGGUCUGCCGCGUUCUCUGCAUGGGUGGUCACCGCCAUGUCCGCGCUCAUAGCAGUCGUAGCCGGCGUUCUGGUCUUCCUGCUCAGGCACAAGCUCAGCUACAUCUUCACCGGCGGCGAGGCCGUCUCGCGUGCCGUCGCCGAUCUCUGUCCUUUGCUUGUCGGCACCAUUGUGCUCUGCGGAAUCCAGCCUGUGCUAUCAGGUGUUGCUGUUGGCUGUGGGUGGCAAGCAUUGGUAGCAUACAUCAACAUUGGAUGCUAUUACUUCAUCGGCGUACCCCUUGACGCGCUCCUGGGCUUCAAGUUUGACUAUGGAAUCAAGGGGUUGUGGGGAGGCAUGAUUGGAGGCACGCUCAUCCAAACAAUUAUCCUAUUGUGGAUCACAUUCAGAACUGAUUGGGAAAAGGAGGUCGAGGAGGCGAGGAGAAGACUGGACAAGUGGGACGACGCAAAGCAGCCGCUUCUCGCUAACGUGCAGCGAUGA
rnacentral:rRNA from 1 species